AAUGGCUCAUUAUAUCAGUUAUAGUUUAUUUGAUGAAGAAUACUAAUUGGAUAACCGUAGUAAUUCUAGAGCUAAUACAUGUAUAAAGUCUUGUAGACUGCAUUUAUUAGAAUGAAAACCAUAGGUUUCGGCCUAUUCGUGAGUAAUAAUAACUAAUCAUAUCGUAUGCUUAUGUAACGAUGUGUCUUUCAAGUUUCUGCCCUAUCAGCUUUCGAUGGUAGUGUAUUGGACUACCAUGGCAGUAACGG
rnacentral:rRNA from 1 species